rnacentral:tRNA from 1 species
GCCCCUGUAGCUCAGCCGGUAGAGCGGAUGGCUGUUAACCAUCAUGCCGUUGGUUCGAAUCCAGCCGGGGGCG